UGGAGGGGGAUAACUACUGGAAACGGUAGCUAAUACCGCAUAACGUCGCAAGACCAAAGAGGGGGACCUUCGGGCCUCUUGCCAUCGGAUGUGCCCAGAUGGGAUUAGCUAGUAGGUGGGGUAACGGCUCACCUAGGCGACGAUCCCUAGCUGGUCUGAGAGGAUGACCAGCCACACUGGAACUGAGACACGGUCCAGACUCCUACGGGAGGCAGCAGUGGGGAAUAUUGCACAAUGGGCGCAAGCCUGAUGCAGCCAUGCCGCGUGUAUGAAGAAGGCCUUCGGGUUGUAAAGUACUUUCAGCGGGGAGGAAGGGAGUAAAGUUAAUACCUUUGCUCAUUGACGUUACCCGCAGAAGAAGCACCGGCUAACUCCGUGCCAGCAGCCGCGGUAAUACGGAGGGUGCAAGCGUUAAUCGGAAUUACUGGGCGUAAAGCGCACGCAGGCGGUUUGUUAAGUCAGAUGUGAAAUCCCCGGGCUCAACCUGGGAACUGCAUCUGAUACUGGCAAGCUUGAGUCUCGUAGAGGGGGGUAGAAUUCCAGGUGUAGCGGUGAAAUGCGUAGAGAUCUGGAGGAAUACCGGUGGCGAAGGCGGCCCCCUGGACGAAGACUGACGCUCAGGUGCGAAAGCGUGGGGAGCAAACAGGAUU
rnacentral:rRNA from 1 species